GAUGAAGAACGUAGCGAAAUGCGACAAGUAAUGUGAAUUGCAGAAUUCAGUGAAUCAUCGAAUCUUUGAACGCACCUUGCACCCUUUGGCAUUCCGAAGGGUAUGCUCGUUUGAGUGUCAUUGUACUCUCACACUUCCGAUCUUUGGAUUGGGAGCGGUGGACUUGGGUGUUGCUGCUUACUGUGGCUCACCUCAAAUCGAUUCGUGCACCUCUUGGUUGGACAUAGUACGGCGUGAUAAGUGUCUUCGCCGGCACCUCAGUAGAGGGUGGCUGAUCGGGAGCUCUGUGCUUCAAACCGUCCUCGGACAACAACUGACAACUUGACCUCAAAUCGAGUAGGACUACCCGCUGAACUUAAGCAUAUCAAUAAGCGGAGGA
rnacentral:misc_RNA from 1 species